rnacentral:tmRNA from 1 species
GGGGCUGAUUUGGUUUCGACUUCGUAGAUUGAGCCAGGGGAAGCGUGCCGGUGCAGGCUGAGGACCACCGUGAGCGUCGCAGCAAAAUUAUAAGCGCCGAGAACACUCAGCGCGACUACGCCCUCGCUGCCUAAGUAGCGACCGCGUGUCUGUCAGACCGGGCUUGCCUCUGGCCCGGACCCUGGCACCGACUAAGAGGAUUGCUGUUCGUCCGCGUCUGCGGGGUCGAAUGGGACUUUUACCGCUGACUGGGCCCAUCAUCCGGGAAUGUGUUCGUCAGAGCCGGAGGGUCGAGUAGAGAUCGCAUACGAACUGCGCACGGAGAAGCCCUGGCGAGGUGACGAAGGACCCGGGUUCAAUUCCCGGCAGCUCCACUG